rnacentral:rRNA from 1 species
CAGCAGCCGCGGUAAUACGUAGGGUGCGAGCGUUAAUCGGAUUUACUGGGCGUAAAGCGUGCGCAGGCGGCCCGUUAAGACAGGUGUGAAAUCCCUGGGCUCAACCUAGGAAUUGCGCUUGUGACUGGCGGGCUCGAGUACGGUAGAGGGGGGUGGAAUUCCUGGUGUAGCAGUGAAAUGCGUAGAGAUCAGGAGGAACACCGAUGGCGAAGGCAGCCCCCUGGGCCUGUACUGACGCUCAGGCACGAAAGCGUGGGGAGCAAACAGGAUUAGAUACCCUGGUAGUCCACGCCCUAAACGAUGGGUACUAGCCGUUUGGUGCGCGAUAGCGCUGAGUGGCGAAGCUAACGCGUGAAGUACCCCGCCUGGGGAGUACGGCCGCAAGGUUGAAACUUAAAGGAAUUGGCGGG